AGAAAAAGAGCAGGCGAUCUAGCGACAGCUGUCGGGGGUCGUCGAAGUGUAGAAGGACGGACCUCUGAAAUGAAAGCAAAAACGUAUUCCGUCUCUCCUCGAGAAAAUAUAUACUCCAUCUCUUUCUCUCCCUCGCUCUCGCCGGGAGCCCCGUCUACCCGCUGUAACAAUACCAGUGUUCUAUCGGCUCGUCGCCGCUUUCGCCUCGAAAGUCUUCUCGAGGGGCUCGCAAUUUAUUGGCUUCUAG
ensembl:ncRNA F43B10.5 ncRNA